UUAAAAAGGUAUCUGCCAACAUAGUUCACUUAAUGAGUGUUGUUGACACUUUGGGUCUGAGUGG